ACCUACGGGACGCAGCAGUGAGGAAUAUUGGUCAAUGGGCUUACGCCUGAACCAGCCAAGUCGCGUGAGGGAAGACUGCCCUAUGGGUUGUAAACCUCUUUUGUCAGGGAGCAACGCCGGCUACGUGUAGCCGGACUGAGAGUACCUGAAGAAAAAGCAUCGGCUAACUCCGUGCCAGCAGCCGCGGUAAUACGGAGGAUGCGAGCGUUAUCCGGAUUUAUUGGGUUUAAAGGGUGAGUAGGCGGAAUGCCAAGUCAGCGGUAAAAUCGUGGGGCUCAACCUAGGUCCGCCGUUGAAACUGGCGU
rnacentral:rRNA from 1 species